UCCAGCGCACUCGCUUAUUCACUAAACAAUGCUUUCAAAAUUUUAGAAAUUGUAAAAUUUUGAAAGCAUUGUUUAGUGAAUAAGCGAGUGCGCUGGA